rnacentral:piRNA from 1 species
CUCGUGUAAGUAUUGGUGGACCCU